AUUAUAGGGAAUAAUUAGAGCAAUUAAGUUGUCCAGCUCAAAGCUGGAGUCUGGUUUUAAGCCCUAUGCACAAUGGCUUUCAUUUGGAAUGCUGUAAUGUUUUUAGUCCAGCGGUAAACUGGCUCUGAAAGCAAACAGAACAGAGCUGCCUUAUGCUUUUUGCCCGUACUUUUCUGAAUGUUAUUUCCAGUCUAAACAUAUAGCAGCUUAAUGUCAGGUUGCCUAAGGUUUCCAUUCUGAUUCAAAUAUAGAACUAGAGUGAUGUCUUUAAAUAUAUUCAUGAGCAAGGCUACUAUUAUAUCGGAAGAAAAAUAAAACCUUCUAGUCACCAUGCAGUACGCACCCAGUAAUGCAGCAUUAAUAAUGCAACACUGGGUGUAUCGCCAUCUAACCCCAUCAUUUGACACUGGUUCGCUGCAGUAUUCCACCUCAUCACAUUACUACCAUUAGCACAAAACACAUAUGCAAUACUCUAGACGGUAAACAUGGGGUUGCGGAGGAAAUAUGAGCCGCUUUCUCUAAUAAGAACAUGUUUCAUGUGGGCAUUGUAAUUAUGCUCCGCAUGGGCUGUUCCUAACAGCAUGUAGAGAUGAUUUCUAGGACCCUCCUGCUACGGGGCUCCCGGUAGCCUUGGUAACCUUAAUGAAUUAUAGGCCAGCCCAGUUAAAACGUGUGGUAUUAGCCCGUUCCAGGGUGUGGCCUCCUGGGUGUCCAUGAAUCAUUGAUCUCGUCGGACCGUUUCUCUCUCGCUCCCCCACACUCUCCCCUCCCCCAGGCGCUGUCACACCUCAGGCCCCCUGGGUGCCCGUCUGGGAUCUGCCGGGCUCAUCAACGGUGUGUGGGGCUGGAGGAGCAGGGGAGAAAGCUAUACUGGGAGCUUAUGCAGGCCGUAAAUCUCCCCGGGUGGCGAGGGAGGGGCGGCCUGCAGUGUCCACUCUAACACCGCAGUCCGGCAUGAGGUGAGGGAUGGGGGCUGCCGCAGUGGACCCGGACGGGCAGCCCAUGGGGGCAGGCUCGCUAACGGCCAACAGAGAUUUAGACAACAACAAGGAGUCUCAAAUGAUGCCAUUUGGAUCUCUGGAAAACAAUUGAUGUCACUAUUGCCAAAGAUCAUUCAAAUAUCGUCAUGUCCACCAUUGGAAAUGUAUCAUGAACAAUGUUUGGGGGGUGAUCACUCACAUCAGUAUGGCAGAGAACACACAGAGUUGAGUUGAGCUUAUUGAGUGUGGCACUGUGGUGGCUGCAUCUGGCCUGCACAUGCUCCUAUCAGGGCCACCAGAUCAAUUAAAGUGCUCAGUGCGUUAAAGUGAUUUCACACUGAGCUGACCCAUACUCACUGUAGUGCACAUGUUCAAGUGGGAUGUUGGCGGGAUGCAAUGUUCUUGAUAUAUAUGUGAUGUGAAAGACUUUGCUAAUUGGUAUCUAACUAACAUCACACUUGGAUAUGUCACACACACACACACACACACACACACGCGCGCGCGCAUACACACACACACACACACACACACACACACACACACACACACACACACACACACACACACACACACACACACACACACACACACACACAAA